UGUCUAGGUAGCUCAGUUGGUUAGAGCAAAGGAUUGAAAAGCUCCUUGUGUCGGAGGUUCGAAUCCUCCUCUAGACAAC
rnacentral:tRNA from 1 species